AAUAUUGGACAAUGGGCGAAAGCCUGAUCCAGCCAUUCCGCGUGUGUGAAGAAGGNUUNNGGAUUNUNAAGCACUUUAAGUUGNNNNNAAGGGCUUUAGGUUAAUACCCUGAAGUUUUGGCGUUACCAACUGCAUAAGCAUCUGCUAACUCUGUUCCAGCGGCCGCGGUAAUACAGAGGGUGCAAGCGUUAAUCGGAAUUACUGGGCGUAAAGGCAGCGGAGGUGGUUCAGUAAGGUAGGUGUUGAAUCGCCGGGCUUAACCUGGGAACUGCUUUCAAAACUGCGGAGCUAGAGUACGGUAGAGGGUAGUGGAAUUUCCUGUGGAGCGGUGAAAUGCGUAGGUAUAGGAAGGAACACCAGUGGAGAAGGCGACUACCUGGACUGAUACUGACACUGAGGUGCGAAAGCGUGGGGAGCAAAC
rnacentral:rRNA from 1 species